GGUGGAUUGGCUCAGGGGUUAGAGCGUAGGUCUUGUAACCGAAAAGUUGCGGGAUCGAAUCCCGCUAGAGGCUG
rnacentral:tRNA from 1 species